CUCCCGGCAAGCGGUGUACAGUCCAGCGGAAGGAAACCCUUCCGCUGGACGAGGUACAUGCACCUCGUCCAUUCCGCUGGACGAGGUACACGUACCUCGUCCAAGCGGAAGGCUUUCCUUCCGCUGGACAAGGUACAUGUACCUUGUCCAGCGAAAGGGUUUCCUUCCGCUGGACUGUACACCGCUUCCCGGGAG
rnacentral:miRNA from 1 species